rnacentral:rRNA from 1 species
UACGGAGGGAGCUAGCGUUGUUCGGAAUUACUGGGCGUAAAGCGCGCGUAGGCGGCUUUGUAAGUUAGAGGUGAAAGCCCGGGGCUCAACCCCGGAACUGCCUUUAAAACUGCAUCGCUUGAAUCCGGGAGAGGUGAGUGGAAUUCCGAGUGUAGAGGUGAAAUUCGUAGAUAUUCGGAAGAACACCAGUGGCGAAGGCGGCUCACUGGUCCGGUACUGACGCUGAUGUGCGAAAGCGUGGGGAGCAAACAGG